CUUGUUGGGGGAAAAAUGAUCAUUUUCUGACUUGGUCGGAGUUUCUGAUUUUCGGAUACGACCCAAUAUUUGAUCAACACAAAAUACGUAUGCAUGUCAGGAAUGCUAUGCUAGGUCCAAAAAUUAACCGAAAAAAAAACUUUUGAAGUUUUUAGUGUUCUAGAGGUCCUUUAAUUCGAGACUCUCCCCGUUAGAGAUUCCUAC